GCUGAGGGAGAAAGGUCCAAAGGGCGCGAGCGCCCAGGGCGCUGGGAGCCCGUGGGACGGGCACGGGGAGGGCAGAGCCAGCCGAGGGGAGCGGCUGCCGGGAGGUGCGCUGAGCAGGGUCCGCAGCUAAGGUCCAGCGCGAUCCGAGCGCCCAGGACCCUGCGGCCGUGGAGGAGGCGUGCCCUGGGAAGGAGCCGCUACUGGGACCUGAAGAGUGAGGGGAGGGAGAGGGGCCCAGAGGGUGACCUGGAGGAGGGCUCUGGAAGUCACGUCAGGUUGGCUCUUCAGGUUCAUUUCCAUAGUUCCCUGCGGCCUCUGCCUUGGGGAGUUAUGUUUUGUUACCGAGAUCCGCGCUACCAGAUUGCACCGGGGCUGAUUUGGGGGCUGGGAAUUUGCCAUUCUGCUGUACAGACACUGAUUUUUUUUUCUUCUUUUUAAAAAGCAAGAUUUUAGGUGAUGGGCAAGUCAGAAAGUCAGAUGGAUAUAACUGAUAUCAACACUCCAAAGCCAAAGAAGAAACAGCGAUGGACUCCACUGGAGAUCAGCCUCUCGGUCCUUGUCCUGCUCCUCACCAUCAUAGCUGUGACAAUGAUCGCACUCUAUGCAACCUACGAUGAUGGUAUUUGCAAGUCAUCAGACUGCAUAAAAUCAGGCAUGGUAGCACGCGCCUAUAAUCCCAGAGGGAGGAGAAUUGCUUGAACCCAGGAGGCAGAGGUUGAAGCGAGCCAAGAUUGCACGACUGCACUCCAGCCUGGAAGACAGCGCAAGACUCUAUCUCCAAAAAAAAGAAAAAGACAACAGAGAAUUGAGGGGUCUGCAGAAGCAUAUGUUAGAAGUGUGGUCCUAAAUUAUCCAGAGGCCAGAGAAGCCAAGCUAAGACGUGAUCAAUACAGUUUACAAGAGAAAGUGGGACCACCUCCACCUGUAUAGUCAUGCAGGUUGUACACUGCAUAUUUGUCGAUGGCAGCCUUGACAGACAGGCUUGUGGAACAUCAAGACCUGGAUGAAACACCUCUCAGAACUGUCCACUCCUUUUAUUUUAAUUCUGCACAUACCAAGAAAACUUUUGAUGAUUACUUAAUUAUUAAUACAAGGAGAGGUGGCAUUCUGUUACUUGAAAGAUAUUUUCAUCAUGGUGAGAUAAUGCACAGCGGUCCCCUUCUUAUCCUCUGAGGAUCCCCCAAGACCUCAGUGGAUGUCUGACACUGGACUGAACCCUAUAUAUGCUAUAUUUUUUCUGUAUACAUACCUAUGAUAAAGUUUAAUUUAUAAAUUAGACAAAGAUUAAUAACAAUAAUUAAUAAAAAAUAAAACGAUUA
rnacentral:lncRNA from 1 species